rnacentral:sRNA from 1 species
GCUGGGUGCAGUGGCACACACCUAUAAUCCCAGCAGCUUGGGAGGCUGAGGCAGGAGGAUCACAAGUUCAAAGCCAACCUCAGCAAAAGUGAGGUGCUAAGCAACUCAGUGAGACCCUGUCUCUA